AACCCAUGGUGUGGGCAUUGGUUGGUGUAGCUCCUGAAUCUCUCAUAUGCUGAGUGAAGCUAGAGAUUUGGUUCCUCAGUUU
rnacentral:snoRNA from 1 species